rnacentral:rRNA from 1 species
GACGAACGCUGGCGGCGUGCUUAACACAUGCAAGUCGAACGGAAAGGCCCUGCGUUUGUGGGGUGCUCGAGUGGCGAACGGGUGAGUAACACGUGAGUAACCUGCCCUUGACUUUGGGAUAACUUCAGGAAACUGGGGCUAAUACCGGAUAGGAGCUCCUGCUGCAUGGUGGGGGUUGGAAAGUUUCGGCGGUUGGGGAUGGACUCGCGGCUUAUCAGCUUGUUGGUGGGGUAGUGGCUUACCAAGGCUUUGACGGGUAGCCGGCCUGAGAGGGUGACCGGCCACAUUGGGACUGAGAUACGGCCCAGACUCCUACGGGAGGCAGCAGUGGGGAAUAUUGCACAAUGGGCGGAAGCCUGAUGCAGCAACGCCGCGUGCGGGAUGACGGCCUUCGGGUUGUAAACCGCUUUCGCCUGUGACGAAGCGUGAGUGACGGUAAUGGGUAAAGAAGCACCGGCUAACUACGUG